rnacentral:lncRNA from 1 species
GCACCUAAACCAAUAACAUUAAUAAUCAAUUUUCUUUAUAUACAGCUUUGCUUCUCCUUGUGCUUCUCCUCUUCCCCCAUAAGUCAUCUGAGAAGACUGCUUAAAUAUUCCACGCUGCCUUAGUGUGACUCAAAUUUCCAGCUGUUUUGCUGCCAGGAAGAACCAGGUGCCUUGGGAACAGUGAGGCUGAAAGGAGCAGGAAGCAAAGAAUGAGGCUGUUGAAGAAAUUCCACAGAUAUUUCCGUGGAAGUAUCAAGAAGACCUAGAGUAAGGCAUCAUCAAAUUGAUAGACUUGAACAAAAGGGAGGAGUGAGACAGACGGAUGGAUACAGAGCAUGGAGGCCAUACUCUUGGUAUGUCUUCAAUUCAAGCAUUCCAAAUGAAAGGAUCUGAUUGGUUUGACAACACUCCCUCUCAGGUAAAAUAUUUCCAUCGGGAAGAACUCUAGAAGCAGUCGUUUGGAUGGUCAACCUUUGGCCAGGAGCCUCUCUCCUAGAAGCCGCUGGGCAUCUAAGAUGUGUGAGCACUAGAGCCUCCUUGCACAGAGCUGGUGGGUCACUGAAGGCUGGCCUCACCACAGCCCCCAGAAGGUGAGUUUUGUCCUAGGGGUAAGUAUUACAGUUCCCUCUGCUCUUGUUUAUCUCCACAAACACCCAAAUCUGCUUCUGUUCCAAGACUGUUUCAUUCCAGACUGAUUUUCUUUUGUAUUUGAAUGACCACCAGCAUUUUCCCCCCUUGAACUCUGGCUGCUGAUCCAUUCUUUGUCUUAAUUCCUCUAUUCCUCUCUCUGCUGCAGUUCUCAUCACUGACAUAGCCAGGCCAUUACUCUGUUUUUGCCAAGCCCUGUGGGGCAGAGCUGGCAUUUUCUGAGCUAAUUUCUUCUGAGAUGUAAUUGAGAUACUGUAAAGCCUCC